UUGGCUCAGGAUGAACGCUGGCGGCAGGCUUAACACAUGCAAGUCGAACGGUCCUUCGGGAUAGUGGCGGACGGGUGAGUAACACGUGGGAAUGUACCCUUAGGUUCGGAACAACACAGGGAAACUUGUGCUAAUACCGGAUGAGCCCUUCGGGGGAAAGAUUUAUCGCCUUUGGAGCGGCCCGCGUCUGAUUAGCUAGUUGGUGAGGUAAUGGCUCACCAAGGCGACGAUCAGUAGCUGGUCUGAGAGGAUGGCCAGCCACACUGGGACUGAGACACGGCCCAGACUCCUACGGGAGGCAGCAGUGGGGAAUA
rnacentral:rRNA from 1 species